rnacentral:rRNA from 1 species
AUGCCUGCAAACCUGUACCAGUCGGACAAAAUCCUCCGUGCACUGAAGAUGCCCUAUGAUAAGAUACAUGCCUGUGAGAAAGGAUGUGUCUUGUUUAGGCUUGACUAUGCGGACUUGAACUAUUGUCCCAUUUGCAAGUCUUCCAGGUAUGUUGUGGUAGACAACGGUAUGGGUGAGAAGACACAGACCAAAAUCCCUGUUAGUGUUCUUCGGUAUAUGCCAAUCGUACCAAGACUUCAACGUUUUUUCAUGGUCGAAGAGACGGCCAGACAGAUGACAUGGCACAAAACGGGCAAAAGAACCGAACUAGAUGCAGAUGGGAAUCUGAUGAUUGUACACACAUCGGAUGGUGUUGCGUGGAAAAAGUUUGAUGAAUUACAUGGUGACAAAGCGGCAGAUCCGAGGCAUCCUCGAGUUGGCAUCAGCACGGAUGGGUUCAGUGUGUUUGGUAUGACGGCAGCCCAAUACAGUUGUUGGCCCGUAUUUGUCUUUCCACUCAAUCUCCCCCCGGACAGAUUAUGCAAAGAAAGAACAUUUUCCUGA